AACGAACGCUGGCGGCAUGCCUAACACAUGCAAGUCGAACGAGAUCUUCGGGUCUAGUGGCGCACGGGUGCGUAACGCGUGGGAAUCUGCCCUUUGGUUCGGAAUAACAGUUGGAAACGGCUGCUAAUACCGGAUGAUGACGAAAGUCCAAAGAUUUAUCGCCAGAGGAUGAGCCCGCGUAGGAUUAGCUAGUUGGUGUGGUAAAGGCGCACCAAGGCGACGAUCCUUAGCCGGUCUGAGAGGAUGAUCAGCCACACUGGGACUGAGACACGGCCCAGACUCCUACGGGAGGCAGCAGUGGGGAAUAUUGGACAAUGGGCGAAAGCCUGAUCCAGCAAUGCCGCGUGAGUGAUGAAGGCCUUAGGGUUGUAAAGCUCUUUUACCCGGGAUGAUAAUGACAGUACCGGGAGAAUAAGCUCCGGCUAACUCCGUGCCAGCCGCCGCGGUAA
rnacentral:rRNA from 1 species